UCGCUCCUACCGAUUGAGUGAUCCGGUGAAUAAUUCGGACUGCAGCAGUGUUCAGUUCUUGAACAUUGCAGUGGAAAGUUUAAUGAACCUUAUCACUUAGAGGAAGGAG
rnacentral:rRNA from 1 species